UAUUCUGCCAGCGGUCUAACGAAAUGCACGCAAUAAGUUUUCGGUCGACUUCGGGAAUGGUCUUCGUGCAUAAAUGUCCAGAAAAAUAAGCGCAGCGUUAGGUCCCACACAAUGUCAUGUUCUAUCAAAAUCUAUCCAAGUUUAGAGUUAAAUAGCUAUUUGUAUGGACAUAGUCCCCUUUUUUUUUUUUUUAAUAUACAGAAGUUUUGGUGUUCAUCUAAGAGUGCGGCACCCAGUUUCUAUGUACCGUCCUGCAUUGACCUUGAGAUUAUUUUGAUAGGUUUAAAUUUUAGACAGUUUUAUGUGUGUUAAAUUGAAGAGUAGGAAAAUCUAAAGACCUGGGAAGUGUGAAACAGAAAGAAAAAAGCUUUUCCGACCCUAUAAAGUAUAUAUACGCUUGAUCAGUAUCACUAGCCGAGUCAAACUGGCCAGUGCCACGCCUACACCUUUCCCAUCAUUUCCCAUCGGUAUGCUGAGUAUCAAGUAUAUAGGCAAUAGGCGAAAAAUACGGCUGAUUUUGUUAAUUAAUAAUUAUUAAUCAUGCAUUUCUACGGCAUGUAUUGUAUUUCUUUACCCGGUGUUUUGAUAUUUUUCAUAUUCUUACCAUUCCUGAACACACAUACAAAUACUGCCACGCCCACACUUUUGAAAAAUGACUUAAUAUUUUUUCAUUUUUUUAUUGGUCUUGUAAAUUUCUAUAGAUUUGCCAACCAACUUCUUUCCACGCCUACUCUGACGACCACAAACCGACCAAAACUACCACGCUCACACACUUGAAAAAUGUUUUGAUUUCUCUUCGUAUUAUUGUUUGUCUUGCCAAUUUCUAUCGGUAUACCAAAAAUGUCCACGCUCCUCCUUAAGACCUCAAAACUCCCGAAACAAUCACGCCCACACUUUUGAACAAUUUUUAAAAUUAAACAAUAUCUAAGAAAAAUUAUAAAAUUUCGUGCUAGCAUUUCCACUACCUGAGUAACGGGUAUCUGACAGUCGGGAAACUUGACUAAGUUUCUCCUCUCUUGUUGAAGUUACAACUUUUUAAAAACUUUGAAAAUGACAGAAACCGUUAGACUUGCAAUGUAGAGUUUUUUAAGAACAAAAAAUUUACUUUAAAAUACAGUACACGGGCGAACAGACAAAGAAAUUUGACUUACCAUUGAAAUUCCGCUACUGGCGCAUCUUUUUCUAAACGAAGCUUUCUGACAAUUUUUAUUUCCAGAAGUUUGAUAACAACAUAAUGGUCCAAUGUUGCCGACUGGAUAACUCCACUUAUUGGACUCCGCCACAGAGUUGGUGGUAAGGGAUACCACCUGUUGAGCUUGUUGCGGACGAAAAGAAUGCAAUUGUGAUUUUAAAAAUACUGGAAAGUCAACAUGCUGCUGAAUUUGCAAGCUGGAUGAUAAUUCAUUAGCAGCUAAGCCCUUUAUACGCGAUUUCUCACUAACACAUUUUGAUAACGUCCUCUUGGAAAGACAUCGAUCCUUUUGAAGUUUAUCUUUUUUUCGUCGAGCUAAAAUUUUUAAAUGUCCAUUUAUUCCUUUUGCGUCCUGAAAAGAAAGAUUUAAAAUAUAAUAUGUUGUAAACACAAUGUACACAAUUA